rnacentral:rRNA from 1 species
GAUGAACGCUGGCGGCGUGCCUAAUACAUGCAAGUCGAGCGAACGGACGAGAAGCUUGCUUCUCUGAUGUUAGCGGCGGACGGGUGAGUAACACGUGGAUAACCUACCUAUAAGACUGGGAUAACUUCGGGAAACCGGAGCUAAUACUGGAUAAUAUUUUGAACCGCAUGGUUCAAAAGUGAAAGACGGUCUUGCUGUCACUUAUAGAUGGAUCCGCGCUGCAUUAGCUAGUUGGUAAGGUAACGGCUUACCAAGGCAACGAUGCAGAGCCGACCUGAGAGGGUGAUCGGCCACACUGGAACUGAGACACGGUCCAGACUCCUACGGGAGGCAGCAGUAGGGAAUCUUCCGCAAUGGGCGAAAGCCUGACGGAGCAACGCCGCGUGAGUGAUGAAGGUCUUCGGAUCGUAAAACUCUGUUAUUAGGGAAGAACAUAUGUGUAAGUAACUGUGCACAUCUUGACGGUACCUAAUCAGAAAGCCACGGCUAACUACGUG